UACGAAGGGUGCAAGCGUUACUCGGAAUCACUGGGCGUAAAGCGUGCGUAGGCGGUUUCUUAAGUCUGUCGUGAAAGCCCUGAGCUCAACCUGGGAAUGGCGAUGGAUACUGGGAGGCUAGAGUGUGAUAGAGGAUGGUGGAAUUCCCGGUGUAGCGGUGAAAUGUGUAGAGAUCGGGAGGAACACCGGUGGCGAAGGCGGGUCUCUGGGCAAUUCCUGACGCUGAGGCGCGAAAGCGUGGGGAGCAAACGGG
rnacentral:rRNA from 1 species